AUUGGACGCUGGCGGCAUGCCUUACACAUGCAAGUCGAACGGCAGCACGGGUGCUUGCACCUGGUGGCGAGUGGCGAACGGGUGAGUAAUACAUCGGAACAUGUCCUGUAGUGGGGGAUAGCCCGGCGAAAGCCGGAUUAAUACCGCAUACGAUCUACGGAUGAAAGCGGGGGACCUUCGGGCCUCGCGCUAUAGGGUUGGCCGAUGGCUGAUUAGCUAGUUGGUGGGGUAAAGGCCUACCAAGGCGACGAUCAGUAGCUGGUCUGAGAGGACGACCAGCCACACUGGGACUGAGACACGGCCCAGACUCCUACGGGAGGCAGCAGUGGGGAAUUUUGGACAAUGGGCGAAAGCCUGAUCCAGCAAUGCCGCGUGUGUGAAGAAGGCCUUCGGGUUGUAAAGCACUUUUGUCCGGAAAGAAAGCCUUGGCCCUAAUACGGUCGGGGGGAUGACGGUACCGGAAGAAUAAGCACCGGCUAACUACGUG
rnacentral:rRNA from 1 species